rnacentral:rRNA from 1 species
UGAGUUUGAUCCUGGCUCAGGAUGAACGCUGGCGGCGUGCCUAAUACAUGCAAGUCGAGCGAACAGAUAAGGGUUGCUCCUUUGACGUUAGCGGCGGACGGGUGAGUAUCACGUGGGUAACCUACCCAUAAGACUGGAAUAACUCCGGGAAACCGGGGCUAAUGCCGGAUAAUAUUUAGAACCGCAUGGUUCUAAAGUGAAAGAUGGCCUUGCUAUCACUUAUGGAUGGACCCGCGCCGUAUUAGCUAGUUGGUAAGGUAACGGCUUACCAAGGCAACGAUACGUAGCCGACCUGAGAGGGUGAUCGGCCACACUGGAACUGAGACACGGUCCAGACUCCUACGGGAGGCAGCAGUAGGGAAUCUUCCGCAAUGGGCGAAAGCCUGACGGAGCAACGCCGCGUGAGUGAUGAAGGUCUUCGGAUCGUAAAGCUCUGUUAUUAGGGAAGAACAAAUGCGUAAGUAACUGUGCCGCCGUCUUGACGGUCCUAAUCAGAAAGCCACGGGUAACUACGUGCCAGCAGCCGCGGUAAUACGUAGGUGGCAAGCGUUAUCCGGAAUUAUUGGGCCGUAAAGCGCGCGUAGGCGGGUUUUUAAGUCUGAUGUGAAAGCCACCGUUCAAACCGGGGAUGGGUCAUUGGAAACUGGAAAACUUGAGUGCAGAAGAGGAAAGGGGGAAUUUCAUGUUGUGCGGGGAAAUGCGCAAAGA